rnacentral:rRNA from 1 species
UACGAAGGGGGCUAGCGUUGCUCGGAAUGACUGGGCGUAAAGGGCGCGUAGGCGGAUUGUACAGUCAGGCGUGAAAUUCCCGGGCUCAACCUGGGGGCUGCGUUUGAUACGUGCGGACUUGAGUGCGGAAGAGGGUCGUGGAAUUCCCAGUGUAGAGGUGAAAUUCGUAGAUAUUCGCAAGAACACCAGUGGCGAAGGCGGCUCACUGGCCCGGUACUGACGCUGAGGUGCGAAAGCGUGGGGAGCAAACAGG